rnacentral:tRNA from 1 species
GGAUAUAGUUCAGUGGUAGAGUGCUUGCUUAGCAUACAUGAGGCCCUGGGUUCGAUCCCCAGCAUCAUCCA